UUGGGGUGCCGAGGGGCACUCAUGAAUAGGGUGCGAUGGGCUAGAACAGAUAGCACACACUUGUGCUUGGGACGAGCUAACGAUAUGUCCUCCUAUCAUCAAUUGAUCAAUCUUAUGGGACAAUGCAUCUACCUUGCUAGACAGGUCCAUGGAAUGACUUAUUUCACAAAUGGUCCCUUUUCUUUGAGAACUCGGGGGUACUUGACGAGAACAGGAAGCAUGGUGGAGGGAGUUUUCAUUAGGAUUUUCAAAUAAUUGCCAUGCUUCAUGCUCAUUUUGAAGCAUAAAAGUUCCCCCGCAUGCAGCAUCGAUCAUCUGACGGUUUCGUUCAGUCAAUCCGUCAU
rnacentral:lncRNA from 1 species